GAACCGCACACGACAUUCCACCACAAUCUCCUCUUCAUUCUAGCAAGGAAGAAUUAUUGUUAUUACAACUGAAUGUUCAAGGAGAAGACGGCAACAUAUGGCAGUGAUGAAAUUUUUUU